UACGUAGGGUGCGAGCGUUAAUCGGAAUUACUGGGCGUAAAGUGUGCGCAGGCGGCCGAGCAAGUCGAGUGUGAAAGCCCCGGGCUUAACUUGGGAAUUGCGCUCGAAACUACUUGGCUGGAGUGUGGCAGAGGAAGGUGGAAUUCCACGUGUAGCGGUGAAAUGCGUAGAGAUGUGGAGGAACACCGGUGGCGAAGGCGGGUCUCUGGGCAGUAACUGACGCUGAGGAGCGAAAGCGUGGGGAGCGAACAGG
rnacentral:rRNA from 1 species